GACAGAGGGUGCAAACGUUGUUCGGAAUUAUUGGGCGUAAAGGGCGCGUAGGCGGCCUGGCAAGUGGAAGGUGAAAUCCCUCGGCUUAACCGAGGAACUGCCCUCCAAACUGCUUGGCUUGAGUCCGGGAGAGGUGAGUGGAAUUCCCAGUGUAGCGGUGAAAUGCGUAGAUAUUGGGAGGAACACCAGUGGCGAAGGCGGCUCACUGGACCGGAACUGACGCUGAGGCGCGAAAGCGUGGGGAGCAAACGGGG
rnacentral:rRNA from 1 species